GAGAAGAACAAAGCUGGCUGACACUAUCCAACUUCAUGACUUACUAUAAAGCUACAGUAACCAAACCAGUGUAGUGUUGGCAAAGAAGAGGCAAAUAGAUCAAUGGAAAAGAACAGAGAGCCCAGAAAAAGAACCACACAAAUAUAGUCAACUGAUCUUUGACGAAAGAGCAAAGGUAAUUCAACGGAG